rnacentral:rRNA from 1 species
UACGUAGGGUGCAAGCGUUAAUCGGAAUUACUGGGCGUAAAGCGUGCGCAGGCGGUUUUGUAAGUCAGAUGUGAAAUCCCCGGGCUCAACCUGGGAACUGCAUCUGUGACUGCAUCGCUGGAGUGCGGCAGAGGGGGAUGGAAUUCCGCGUGUAGCAGUGAAAUGCGUAGAUAUGCGGAGGAACACCGAUGGCGAAGGCAAUCCCCUGGGCCUGCACUGACGCUCAUGCACGAAAGCGUGGGGAGCAAACAGG